AUGAGCAACGAGAUCGGGAACGCAGCCCUACAGAUUGCGUCGAACGCGGCCUUUUCACGGCAAAGGCGAGGAUGCUUUAACAUGCAUGCAUCUGUCAAAAGGAAAACUGGAUCAGGAGAUUAUCCAUUUGAUUUCGCCUCCCUACUAUCAAACUCCAGAUCUAAUGAAUGGUUUUGUUUUCUGCAUAUGCAAAUCACUUUAUACGAGCAUAUACACAUGGAGAUUGGAGAUGGAUCUAUUGUUGCCCAAACAGAUCAGGGCAAAAUGAGAAAGAACAGAGACGGAUCUCCAUCGAUCGAAGGAUUGAGGUCAAAUAAACAACCCAACAUGCAAAGGGAAGAAGGUACAAUUGUUCUUUAUUUUACAUUGCACCGGAAGAUGAGGCCAUUGCACAUGUCAGGCACAGCCCUCGGCCUAUCUUCACGUAGAGCGGCGACGAAGAAGCGCAGUGGCCUUCAAUCGGUCCUCGAAUUUGACUCCAUGAGGCAACGCCAUAGGGAGCAGAAGCGCAUGCAGAGGCGUUCUCAGGCCACAGCCCUCGGCUCCGCGAGGUCGCUCCGCUCACGCGGCUCCCCUCAGAGCGAUUGCGACACCGGCGCUCGACCGACUUCGGUAAUGGCGACAGCUUAA
rnacentral:rRNA from 1 species